rnacentral:lncRNA from 1 species
CACUGAUGUCACUGCCUAGGAGACAUUGGCAAAGACAGUGGGUCAACUGCAGAACUGGAGUGAGGGGAGACAACAGGUCGGAUUCCUCCAUUUGGAAGUGAUUGAACUGCAUAUCCCUUACAUACCAACUGCCAAGCCAGGGUCACUGUUCAUGGUCUGAACGAUUUCCAUGCCCUGGGGUUGUAUAGUAAAGAAAAAGCUGUGAUGCAGGCUUACCAUCUGAGUCCUUCUGAUUGGGAUUGGGUACCAGGCGGCAGUUAUCGGGACCAGGAGGCACAUAAUCUGGGAUGCCAUCAUUGUCAUCAUCCCCAUCACACUCAUCUCCAAGUCCAUCGUUAUCAGAGUCCAGCUGGGAGCUAUUUGGCAGCUGUGGGCAGUUGUCCUUGGUGUCCUGAUGCCCAUCCCCAUCGCUAAUCAGAAGAACAGGUUGGUGAAAGUCCCGAACUUUGUCUCCCCACCCAGAGGACAACUGGCCAGGAAAUCUGCCUGUUUCUUGUCUCACCCUCUAGUCCACACUCUGCCUAACACUACGCCCUACCUCACAUUCCUAUUGACAUCUGCUGCAGGUAAUCUCUCCUCACCCAGGCCAACGUCCACAAGCCUGCCUCCCUAUUUCACAGAGACUUCCUAGCUUCCCUGCUUCAUCCCCACCUGAUCCAAAUUCUCACAGGUCCCCCAGCCACCCCUUCAGCCCCAGGCCUGCACCAUCCCCAUCCACGUCGUUGUCACAGGCAUCUCCUUCCCCAUUGCCAUCUGUGUCCUUCUGGUCAUUGUUGGGAACGUUGGGGCAAUUGUCACAGGCAUCACCAAAUGAAUCUGUAUCUGA